rnacentral:lncRNA from 1 species
UUUUUUUUUUUUUUUUGCAUCAGAAAGCCUUAUUUCCAUUUGGUCCAAGGCUUGUUAGGGUAGUUAAGAAAGCUGCCUAUUGGCUGGAGGGAGAGGCUUAGGCAGAAGCCCUAUUACUUUGCAAGGGGCCCUUCAGAAGGCAUGAAGAUCCAAAAGGGCCUGGUUCAGCUUUUUCUCCAGGGCCAUGGCAGCUUUCAUGGCAUCUGGGGUUUUACCCCACUCAUCUUCAGCUGGCUUCUUGAUGUCCUGGAAGAGAGCGCGGCCGCCACGCUGGUUUUGCAUCUUCAGGAGACGCUCGUAGCCCUCGCGCUUCUCCUCGGUCAAUUCGCGGAAGAAGUGGCUCACGCCUUCCAGAGCCGCAUCAUCGCGGUCGAAAUAGAAGCCCAGAGAGAGGUAGGUGUAGGAGGCCUGCAGGUACAAAUUGACCAGGCUGUUGACGGCUGCCUCCACGUCGGUGGAAUAAUUUUGACGAAUCUGGGAGCUCAUGGUUGGUCGCCAAGAAGGAGCUAACGACAAAAACGGUGCUGGCAGGUCCCAGAAGCAGGAGAUAGCCGAGAAGAUGGUCCCGGAGGUUGCAAGUGGAGAGGAAAUUGGAGGGCGGUCGGAGGCUGGAAGACCGUCCCCGGAUCUGUUCCGUCCAAACACUGUUGAAGCAAGAGACAGACCCA